rnacentral:rRNA from 1 species
GAUGAACGCUGGCGGCGUCCCUAACACAUGCAAGUCGAGCGAUCUUUCUUCGGAAGAGAGCGGCGGACGGGUGAGUAAACGCGUGGGUAACCUGCCCUGUACACACGGAUAACAUACCGAAAGGUAUGCUAAUACGGGAUGACAUAUGAAAGUCGCAUGGCUUUUAUAUCAAAGUUCCGGCGGUACAGGAUGGACCCGCGUCUGAUUAGCUAGUUGGUAAGGUAACGGCUUACCAAGGCGACGAUCAGUAGCCGACCUGAGAGGGUGAUCGGCCACACUGGAACUGAGACACGGUCCAGACUCCUACGGGAGGCAGCAGUGGGGAAUAUUGCACAAUGGGCGAAAGCCUGAUGCAGCAACGCCGCGUGAGCGAUGAAGGCCUUCGGGUCGUAAAGCUCUGUCCUCAAGGAAGAUAAUGACGGUACUUGAGGAGGAAGCCCCGGCUAACUACGUGCCAGCAGCCGCGGUAAUACGUAGGGGGCUAGCGUUAUCCGGAAUUACUGGGCGUAAAGGGUGCGUAGGCGGUCUUUCAAGCCAGAAGUGAAAGGCUACGGCUCAACCGUAGUAAGCUUUUGGAACUGUAGGACUUGAGUGCAGGAGAGGAGAGUAGAAUUCCUAGUGUAGCGGUGAAAUGCGUAGAUAUUAGGAGGAAUACCAGUAGCGAAGGCGGCUCUCUGGACGUAACUGACGCUGAGGCACGAAAGCGUGGGGAGCAAACAGG